rnacentral:ribozyme from 1 species
CACCAGCAAUGGGCUUACACUUCUUCGCAGUGCCGGUGACUAGUAACCUUUGGGUGAAGCCAAGACAAGC